GCCCCAAUUUCCUUCUCUAUACCUGAAUCAGGCAAAAAGCCAGCAAAGACAUCAAUACGAGUAUCAAAAGAUUUUCUGACUUUAACAUCAAAAGUGUAAAAGGAUCCUAAUGUAGCUCCAGCAUUAAGAGGAGAGCUUUAUACUCAAGAUAAUCCACAUUGACAAAAGAAGAGCUCCAAGGAAACUCAACAACUGCAAGUCCAAGAGUACACAAUACUAAGAUGGAAAGCAAACCUGAGAUACUUGAGCAUACUAAUACAGUAGCUGAAUUUUCACUAGCUAUAUCUGUAAAAUGUCCCUAAAAACAUAAAACUUCUCCUCGGCACAUAGCUCCAUUUUGAAGCACUAGUAACCACGUUCUUGCCCUUACAGAGGCAUAAUUCUUGAGGUGGACGAAGCACCAGCUUAACUUUACUCGCUUUGAAUGAGAAACUCCCCAAGGAAACAGUUUUAUUAUGUAAUACACGUCGUUUUAUUCCUUCUUUUAAAGUUUAUUGACAAACCCAUUUGCAUAUUUCAGAAUAACAGCCAAUGUAAUCACUAGUCCUCAAAUCUAACCACUCAAGGUGAUAAUUUCACCAUUGGAAACGCGUAUGAGUUCCUCAGCUCAAGGAAGAAUCAUCUCAUUAAGUUCUAUAUCAACACAAAUCAUGCGAUCAUCCUAAAAUUUGAAUUAAAAGUUUAUAACUUAAGAUUCCUGGAUGUAAAUGUUAACUAUAACACUGAAGGGGAAAAGAAAUAGCACUAAUAAAAU
rnacentral:misc_RNA from 1 species